GGGGGAUAGAGAUGGGGGAUGACACGCAGCAAAAGGCAGCAGGUCGGAUUCGAACCCACGCCGCUGUGGGCCUCAGCCAACAUGGGUACCGCCCCGCUCCAUCCGGUCUCCAGUUCAUCCUCCCGGACCAACCUACCAUACGACUUCUCUUCUUCAAUCUCACCCCCAUCCAAAUCCACUCCUAUGACCUCAACAUUCUAUAACCAAGCAUUCAUUAAAACUUUAAACAACA